UGUAUGCAUUCACUGUAAGUCGCUCUGGAUAAGAGCGUCUGCUAAAUGACGUAAA
rfam:Salmo salar isolate Sally breed double haploid chromosome ssa01, whole genome shotgun sequence.